CUUGGUUGAUGCAAAAGCAUUACAGUUGUCUCCUCCUGGUUUUUUCUCAGCAUAAUAAUUUUUUCAAUUGCCUACUUAACACAAUUUGAAUUGUAAAGGAAGAUUUGUAAAGUAGGUUCCGAAUCUUCCUGUGCUACUUUUUGUUAGUCAGUUCUCUGUUCAUGCUCCAUCAUAUUGCGCCUGUGUAUUGCUUGCAGAAGCAUUCCUGUUCUGCAGGUUAUUUAUGUUGCUGCCAUUAUGUUUGGAAAUCUAUGCUAGCCUCCAUCUUUUUCAUUAAUCGAGAUCUUUUCGCCUAUUAUAAAGAUAAGGCAGUGCACUUGAGAAAUUCCAAUCAUAUAUGUCAAUUGGUAAUGAUGAUCGCAAGUUACUUACCUUGAUUCCAUUUAUAGUGAAUGAGCUCUUGAUUGAUAUAUUUUGCGAGCCUUUAUUAAUAUAAUUCUAUAAAUAUUUGCAACUAACAUUUUUUAUGCUUCAUGGUUGUUUUGGUGAGUUGAUGAGAAUUUUUAAAAAUUGAGUUUUGAUUUCUCUUCUAGUAUUUCAUGUAUGCUCAAUUUAUUGUGUUUGGAUUUUGCAGUGCUCUCUCUAUGCGUUUUUUGUUUAAUUUGUGAUGGGUAAAGAUGACGGGCAGUCUUCUAAAUGACCAGGUUAAUGUUCCUAUUUUUCGCAAUGGCCUCUUCUAUUAGAAAUACUAAUUUACCCUUACUUUUAUUAUUUGCAAGAUGUAUUCUGUAUCUUUCGGGACUUAUUAAUCAGGACCUAUAUCUAUAUUUUUUAAUCUUUCUAACACCUUUAAAUAUUCUUUGUAUCUUGAUAAUUUUUCAAAGAUCUUAGGCUGAUCUUCCUUAGUUAUGUAUCCUUGAACUAAUCCUUCUGAGACUUCUUCUUGUAUAUCUCUAUGUUUAGUUAUAAUAUUUUCUACCUUUCUUAUUUCUCUACUAGUUCUUACAUAAUCAAAUUUUAUAUUGUGCUUACAAAAAUAAUCUAUAUCUUGGUAUAUU
rnacentral:lncRNA from 1 species